UCGAAGUCAGCAAUGUCCUCGAACCCGUUGGCCUUAAAGCCGCUCAGUUGGCGCCAACUGCCCCUCCCACAACUGCUCCGACGCCUGCCCCCAUGAUGAUGGGACCAGUUGAAUCACCAAUGGAAGCUCCCAUGUCUUCCCCGAUGAUGGCACCACCAAUUGAAUCUCCCAUGGAGUCGCCAAUGGAGUCGCCAAUGGAGUCGCCAAUGAAGUCACCAAUGGAGUCACCAAUGGAGUCACCAAUGGAGUCACCAAUGGAGUCACCAAUGGAGUCACCUGUUGAAUCCCCUGCUGAAACCCCAGUCAUGAUGCCACCAAUGCCCGAUUUGGAGGGACCUGCGAUGGGACCAUCCUCCGCAGUCAGUGGUGCAUCACUUGUCAACUUCGACAUCGCCGCUUUGGUUGCGUCGGCUG
rnacentral:lncRNA from 1 species